GUCAAUAAAGAGGAUGUUGUGCUUGAUGGAAGUGAAGCGCCUGUUAGAAUUGAUGCUGAAGCUCUGCUGGCAUCUGAGAAACUUGCCCCUGCUGCUAGUCUAAAGAAGGUAAGGGUUGCAUAUCGACCUAUUGAUGCUAAACUUAGCACUCUCACAGCAGAUCGUGACAAACUGCCCUCUGGCAAACAGACACUGGCUCUUUAUUGAC
rnacentral:misc_RNA from 1 species